GUAGGCUGCAACCCGCCUGCAUGAAGUCGGAAUUGCUAGUAAUCGCAGAUCAGCAUGCUGCGGUGAAUACGUUCCCGGGCCUUGUACACACCGCCCGUCACACCAUGGGAGUCGGUAACACCCAAAGUUGGUAGCCUAACCGCAAGGAGGGCGCCGCCUAAGGUGGGAUUGAUGACUGGGGUGAAGUCGUAACAAGGUACC
rnacentral:rRNA from 1 species